CUAGAGGAUGAUCCGGGGGUGGGGUGGGGAGCUCAGGGACUGCUCUGUUCUCGCGAUGUUUGCGGGGACCCUGUCUCGGUGUUUCCAUGUAGGAGGCUUUGCAGACUGGUGGAGUUACGUCGUCCAAUAGCCCUUUCGUUAUUGUUUUAAUUACACUCUGCCAGCACGAUGUUGGACCAUUAUUUUUACGUUGAAGAAUCAGCUUAUUCCACCCCAUUUCUUAUUUUGACUUUUAAACAAGUAAAACGCUCACUCAAGGCACUGAAGAACCUCAUCAGGAUAAAGUGUUGGAUCUGGUAUGGGCUUGGCUCUGUGGCAAUGAGCCGUGGCAAGAAGGAGAGAGGUCCAAAGGAUAUGGAAUGUGAUGUGCAGUGGGAAGAGAAGAGGCAUGGGAGAGACUUUCUGGGACAUAAAACCUUCGGUCCUACAGCCGGAGACCUGUGACCUACGGAGCCACAGGGGGAGAUCUGAGCUGUGCCACCAGGAAGGCCUGACUGCCUUGUGACCCCCCCUUACAUAUAUACAGAAGCAUUUCCUGUGGACAAUGGAGGGCCCAGCCUCAUCGUACUCCGGCUUGCUGAUCCACAUCUGCUGGAAGGUGGAGAGAGAGGCCAGGAUGGAGCCUCCAAUCCAGACGGAGUACUUCCGCUCCGGAGGAGCAAUGAUCUGCAAAGAGAAAAUGCGGUGAAUCAUGGCCCUUCCUUAAGAGGACCCAGCAUGUUUGUCUCAAAGUAUCCUCCAAGGCCCUAUCUGUGGAUGGGCUGGACCCCAGACUCUGUGGCCGAGAGGGAAGAGAACAGAAGAGCAAAGUGCCCUGUCCUUAUGAACAGCUAGAAGCUAAGCCACUUCCAACAAAGGUUACUGCUGUUUAGCCCACGGUAUAAAAGGUGACUGUAGUAGGAAACGGAGGCCAGAAGUUCAGCUGUGGAGAGAAACUCAGCCAGGAACUACAGCUGACUGCCUCAACUUCCCCAGUCAGUUUCUGUUGUUCCUAAGACCCCAGUUUGAUGAUGUCACCUACCUACCGGUAUUUGUUCUUUUACUUGGAGGGGACACUCUGCCCUGCCCAGGACUCUUUCUUGGGAACCCAGCUGACCACCCUCCCCAGCUGAUUUCCACCGGAUGUUUUGAGUAACCAACCUGACGAUGUUCUGCUAUCUACGAAUCUGUCAUCUGUCCCUUACUAUUUAUUCUUUUACUUUGGCUUGCUAUAAGCUUACUACAUAGCCUCUGUCAUUCAAAACCAAAGGUAUGGCCACCACAGAUGGUUUUCAGGACUGUGAAGAAAAGCUGGAGCCAGAAGAGCAAUGGGCUUCAGCGGUACUGACCUGUGGUGCGGCCAGAUGCAUAGAGGGAGAGCACAGCCUGAAUGGCGACAUACAUGGCAGGGACAUUGAAGGUUUCGAACAUGAUCUGGAAGGACAGCAAGAGGAAGAGAACUGCCUUACAAACAUCACAGCGUCUCCUGGACUACAGAAUGCUCUGUAAUUUUCCCAAGGGCAAGAACUCUACCAACCUAGUGGUCCUUCUUUCUCCCACUUCCACUCCCCAUGGGACCUGCCCUGGUGACCCCACACACACAGCAAAUCUGUAGACACUGCGCUGCACUGAUACAGGACGGCCAGGCUGCUUCCUGUGCACAGUGCUCUUACCUGGGUCAUCUUCUCCCUGUUGGCCUUGGGGUUUAGGGGAGCCUCUGUGAGCAGGGUUGGAUGUUCUUCGGGUGCUACCCGCAGCUCAUUGUAGAAGGAGUGGUGCCAGAUCUAGUUGAGACAAAAGCCAGAGAAGCCCAGCAGAUUCCCCAGGGGUCUGAAGAAUAUCCAACUGGCCUGUGCAUACUGGAGGAGGGCAGCCAAGUGCUACACAGGACAGGGUGAAUCUGGGGAAUCUCAUGGCUGUUACACAGAGAAACCCUGUCUUGAGGAACAAAGCAAAAACAAAAACAAAAAAGAUUCUCCAUCCCUAAAUAACUAAGCAGUUAUUUCAGAACAACCCAUCUAAUUCCUAUGCAGAUUUUCUUUUAAGAUCCAUAACGUAUACCUAGGGCUUUCUUUAAAGACUUCAUACACUGUCCCUACUGUGAGAAAAGAUUUUGUUGCUUAUGUUCUUGAAUUAAGUAUUUAGAGAUGUGUGUGAAUAAUGAGUGUCAUUUCCAAAGCUCCAACCCAUAUGUUGGAGUCACAAUAAAUCAGUGUGUGAUUUCAUUGCCAAAGCA